GCCACUCAACUGGGAAAGGCCUCUGGUCUUGGCAGAGGCGAGCACUUUAAAACGAAGGUCAUCAUAGAGAACUAGGCUGUCCUCCACCUCAUCAUGCUCCUGCCUCAGUUUCUUGAGUCAUUGUAUGUGUAUGUCCCCAUGUCUAGCUCAAAUUUUGAUGACGCUGAGAUCAUCUUCAGUCAUCUAAGAAUCAUUUACUGAACAAGCGUCAGGAGACAGUGACUGCAGCAGUUGCUGGGGAAACAAGGGUGAUGAAGAUGUCCUUGAAACUCAGAGGCAGGUAAAUACGUAAC